CCUACGGGAGGCAGCAGUGGGGAAUCUUGCGCAAUGGCCGAAAGGCUGACGCAGCGACGCCGCGUGUGGGAGGAAGCUCUUCGGGGUGUAAACCACUGUUGCCCGGGACGAACAGCAUCUUUCGAGAUGCCUGACGGUACCGGGUGAGGAAGCACCGGCUAACUCUGUGCCAGCAGCCGCGGUAAUACAGAGGGUGCGAGCGUUGUCCGGAAUCACUGGGCGUAAAGGGCGCGUAGGUGGCCGUUUAAGCGUGCGGUGAAAGCUCGGGGCUCAACCCCGAGUCGGCCGUGCGAACUGAGGGGCUCGAGCACUGUAGAGGCGGGUGGAAUUCCGGGUGUAGCGGUGGAAUGCGUAGAGAUCCGGAAGAACACCGGUGGCGAAGGCGGCCCGCUGGGCAGUGGCUGACACUGAGGCGCGACAGCGUGGGGAGCAAACAGGAU
rnacentral:rRNA from 1 species